GGGCACAUGGUGUAGUUGGUUAUCACGCCCGCUUAGCAUCAAACCUCUCAGGUGCUUAGCCUGCGGGCGGUCCCCGGUUCAAUUCCGGGUGUGUCCA